GGGGGAUGGGGGCAGAAGGAGAACAAUAGAGGAGCAGGAGGAAAUGUUUUAGGAGAGAUUUGGCCGGUUCCAGGGAAGCCGGGCCUCUGAUCCCAAGAGAGGAAACCCAGGAAGCACCUCGAACUGCAGGUAAUCCUCAACGGAGAGCAGUGGAACUGUGAGAACUGGACUCAGAGGGACCAUCCCAAAGACCAGUGAGUCUCUGACUUUGCUGAAAUUUCCCUCUUUGGUUUGACUGGAUUUUAUUUCGUCUUAUUUGAUUAUUUCAUCCAUUUUAGUCUCUUACCCGGAACACUGUUGUCACUUCAUAUGUAUUUAUUGUGCUGUUUGUUGGUCUGCUGUCGUACACCUGAUUCACUGCAAACAAAAUUUACCUGAGGGUACAAAUAAAGUAACCUUUGACCUUUGAACUUUUUGAUGGAUUGUUCUGUUUUGGGGAUUGUGGAGCUUUGAGUAAAAAACACUCGACUUGACCCGAAAAACUCUCAAAAUUUACUGUGUGAUUCCAUGACUCCACCCCAUGAAUAAGUGUCCUCUUUUUGGGAAUUCAGAUUACGGUCACCCUAGGAUUUGGUCCGUUUUAUUUUAUAAGCGUUUUAUUUUAUAUUUUCUUUGACUUCACCUGGAGAAGUUUUUUCUGGAACUUUAGAAAAGCUAGGACGGUCCGGGUUUGGUUAAAAACUGUGGCUCCUUGUUUCCUGCUCUAUACAGUAAACUGUGGUCAAUAUUAUUAAGUUUGUUUUUCACAAAAUUGAAACAGGAGUUCCCCAAGGAGCCGUCCCGGGCCCCUUCUUUUUCAGCCGUAUAAUUUAACAAAUCACCAGGAUAAACCUAAUCAUAGGUCUUAAGAUGUAUGAAGGCGACACAAUUGUGUAUGUAUGAGGUAAAAUCUGUGGUGCUGUUCCAGGACAGCUAACUUUAAAUAUAUAUAUAUAUAUAUGUAAAAAAUGCAAUCUUAACUCAAUGCCUGUUGUUUGACAUGAAACGAUAAGAAAACUGAGUCAGUCUGUUUUUAUCUGGAAAUCUAUCUGCAUCAGAAUGACUGAAGAUCAGAAUUUGACUUUUUAACAGGGAGUCUGCCUCCAGUGGACACUCUUGGAACUGCAGUUUUUGUGCUCAUGUUUAAGAUCGUAGGUGGCCUCUUGAUUGUCAAACUCCUUUGACCCUUUUUGAUCAGAGAAACUGAUAAAAACAGCCGUAGUGGUGCUAUAAUCUUCAUACACCGACUCCUCUCCACAUUCGAAGGCCUGUAGGAGAUUCACUGAGCAGCACCUUGGUUACGUUUCUGCUACAUUUAGCUCCAGAUUAAUGUGGACGAGACAUCAGCAGGUCUGGUUGGAUGGGGGUCCUCAGUGGCUACCCAUAAGCCCCUGGGACUGCACAGUAAAUCAAACAAGAAAUGCAGCGGAAAGCCUAAUAAAGUUCUUCUAAUGAUUGUAAUCUCUGAGGAAGCACCUUCAACGUAAACCAAACUUCCCUCUCCCUCGCUCUCGUCCUCUGAGCUGCUGGGAGAAAUCACUAAAUUUUCCCCUGAAUAAGAGCACCUCGUCUCCAGACCUCCGAACGUGCAGAAGCGGAAACAGAAGGUCUGAGGUGUGGAAAUUAAUAACAUUAAUCACUGAGCUGCUUUCCAGCCUCCUCUUGCCUGCUCUUUGCCUUCUGGUUUCAAGAAGACGAGAUUAAACAUGAACCAACUCAGAGGGGACCGAAACCGUCCUUCUGAUCACAUUAAUUCAGCAACAUCUCGCUCACAUGAAUAUGCAUACUGAUUUCUGAUAAAUCUGGCACAUACCCCGUCUUAUUCUGAUUAUUAGCACGUUCGAACUCUUGGUAUGAAGGCCAACAUUCAGUCAUGUGAGUCCUGGACCUGGUCUCUCCAGAUAUCACCUUUGUUUAAGGGCCAUCGGGCCGGUUUCCAGCAUUGUAAACGGUGAUGUAUUACAUUCCAGCUCUGUUUGUAUGUCUCGGGCCGACACCUCCGGCUCUCUUUUAUUCUCUCUUAGUCAUAACAGCUUUUGUUUGAAGUGCGGAGGCAGACACAACAUCUCAGCCGUGGCUCCACAGCGUUCAGACCUUCCACCUCUGUUUACAGCUCGAGCCUCUCAGGCAUAAUGUUGUGAAACGGACAGAUGGAUCUACCGAGCUCCAGAAGAAUCCUGUUAUCUACAAAGUUUGUGCCAAAGCCUUCGGUUCAUUCUCACUGCUGUGGAGUAGAUAUCCUUAUCAACAUUUAUCCUUCCUCCAAAAAAGACCGAUCAUACUCUUUCUGGGACACCUACAGAGAAGCUUCGUAUCAUUUAAGGUUGAAAAACGUCCUUAUUCUUCUUUUUCUGGCCUCAGUGGAAACUCUCAGUUCAGCAGUAGGAGCCUUAAAUGCUUUACUUUUUUCCCUUUCACUGAUUUUAAUCAAAACGGAGCUGCUGGGUGUUACUUUUUACACAGCUCAUGAACAAACCUAAAAGCUACGUCUUUACGGAAACAUCCGAGUCCUGCUGAGAGCACCUCAGCUCCAGAUUCAGCCAUAUAAGUGUAUGAAACUCAAAUCUUGGCCAGUGUUUUUGUCUUUUCAAACUUCUUUUAAGCAAAGUUUUAAAAACAGCAGAGUCGCUCGUAGAAUUUCAAGGAACCGAAGUUCUAUCAAAAGGAACUAGAGAAGUUGUUUUUCUUUUUGAAGGUGUUAUAUAUUUUUGUGAUAUCUUAAAUUUAGACAUUUUCACGGCUUAUGUCUUUGAGUAGACCUUAUGAGACAUUUUUCGCUUUAAAUAAUACAAAAGAUUGAUAUUGACAUGCUAACGUUUCAGUUUAUAGCUUUGGUUACACUAGCAGCUGUUAUGAUGUUACUCACAGCUCGUGAAAGGCCUUUAUCGAUGCGGCGGCUCCAAGCUGAGAUGCAAAUCCAGUUCCUGUUGGUUCAUAAGCAAAUUAUCAUUGAAGGGGUGAGCAUCAACGGUUUCUAUCUAGCUGAAAAAAAUAAAACUAAACCAACCUACUAAAUAGAUUUAAGUCCUGGGAAAAGUCGUGGUUAGGAUUAAAAAUAUGUUUCGACUAACUUCAGCAUUGAAAUUUGGUUUAAUUAGAUUGACCAAAUUCUGAAUCCCCAAAAAGAGGACACUUCUACACAGGGCGGAGUCACAGAAUCGGAUGUAGUAAAUUUUGAGAGUUUUUCGGGUCAGGUAAAGUGUUUUUUACACGCUUCUUACUCAGUUUGUCAACACGACAGAAACUUAAAACUUUCAUACAGAACCCAUUUGAAGGAUUUUAUAAACGACGCUGGACAGUCACCAAAAAAGAAAAAAGUGGACAUAUGGUCACUCUAGGUUAAUAGUCACCAGUGUUUUGGUUAAGUGACUUAAGAUGUAAUGUUCCUUUUUAUUUUAUAUUGUCUGUAAGCAGAAACCUCCAGGUUCAACAAAAUGAAGCUGAUGUAGAAAUCCUAAAAACUGCAGUUCCUUAAGCGUCCACUUGGGGCUGGCUGCAGAAGCACCAAGAACGACAUACACACUCAUUCAAAAAAACAUCUUUACGACAACAACAACAACAAAAUGUUUACAGCCUCAGUGAAGUUUGACCAAAAGUUAGAUUGAGUCAGCAUGGCGUUGCAGUAUUCUAUGUCCAUGUUUUGUACAUUUUUUAUUGGGUAUCUAUUUUGGAAAAGUAAAUAAGUUAAUAUAAAUUUUAUGUCUCAUGCAUCCAUUUCCUGUAAAGUGAUACGACUGACACUUAUUGGACACAAGAAAACUACUAAUACAUGUACAGAACAAAAUAAUCGACCAACACAAAGUGGAAGUUUCCUCAUAGCAUCAGUUUUUUUUUACAUGUUUCUGCAACAUUAACAUGCAAAACACUUUAAAACGACUCUAACAUUAUUCUAACACGAUGCCUGAUUUUCAAAUCCGUGGAAAUAAAAAGUGAAAGAAGUCCAGAGUGAGUUAAAAACUGAUAAAUGUUGGUUUUUGCAUCCUUGUGUGUCUCUUGCUGAGAAAUAAAACAUACUGUUGAGCCCGCUGAGAGGGAGAGAGAAAAUCAACUCAUCUCUAUUUAUUGAGUCUGCGGCCUGUUGUUCAUUUUCGAGGAAUUUAGCUGAAGUGGCCUCUUGUUAUUUGAAGUACUAAUUGAACCCAUUUUCCUUUUCCAAACCUGUCUUACCACUUUCAUUUUAAAGCAAUAACUCAUCGAUGAACAACACCACUCAGCGGACGCCACUUGUCACGAUGGUUCCACUUAUGCAUUGACCAAAACAGACUCAACAGUGAAAGUUGCAUCACACAUUUUUCAGGCCGCUGCCUCGUCCAAGUGCCUCGCCACUUAUCAGUCUCGAUUGUGUUUAAUAUAUUCCGUUUUUAUGCUGUUUUUCAAAAGCACAGAGCUGAAAGCAUCUCAGCGGGUAAACCGGUGGAUUUAAGGUGUGUGCGUUUUUCGCAAACUUCUGCUGCUUUUUUUUUCGACUCUCGCACAAACCUGUCCUCUGAGGUUUGCGCGCCGAGUCCCUUCCAAUAAAACUCCCAAACAAGAAGGCGAAAAAUCCUAUUCAGUCUUUGUCUUUGAUAUUCCUAAAUGUCCUUAAACCGAGAAGAACCUUUGCAAUAUUUGAACCUUAUUGAACUUAAUUCUUCGGCUUAAAGUAAAGCGCUCUUGCAUCUGUGUCAGUGUUUGUAGAUGUGAGUUGUGAUCUUCCAAUCAUGGGGAUGCUGAUCCAGGAGAAGUUGACACGUCCUGGUCGCCAAUCUGCACGGGGAGCUGAGGUGUGGAUAUUUCAUUCAGGCACUUCUUUCCUCUGAUCAUAAUUGCACAGCGACAGAUGGGCAAUGGUGGAGCGCGCAAGUAUACAGCGUGCAUAGAAAUGUGCUCAUAGCUCAGAAGAGAAACAGCUUUAAAGCAGUCAGGUGUGGGGUUUUAUUUUGACACCUUGCCUGCCUGCGAAACACCUACUUUCUUCUCUGGCGGGACAGAGUUGCAUAAAAAAUGGUCAUAAGUUCUUGGUGAGAUGCAACUUUCAGCCAUGAAUGGUUGUAAAUCUUCUUUUGUUACAGGUGAAUGAUGGAAAUUGUGGCCGUUUUUGAAUCAGAGAGCUUCUUCGCGGAGAUAAUGGAGCAGUCUCGAGGCCUCUUGCCACCUCGACAAGUAAGCAUCAAGAGAAAAAAGGAGAACGGAGAAGAAGCAGUUAAAUUGCUUUAACAGCUGUGCGGGGUAUGAAUAACUCGUUAGCCGUGUGCAUUUUAAGUCAUCAAAUCCUGAGACCCCCACCACCACCACCACCCUCCUCCUCCUCCUCCUUCUCCUCCUCGCAAACACACACCUACCCCUCAUUUGCAAAGGGGGACAGGAGGGAGGUGCUAAUUAAAGUGAUAAAGAGAACAAAUCUUAUCAAAUCCUGAGCUGGAGGAGUUUUUUUCUUUUUUACGGGGCGGGGUGGUGGAGGUGUUGGUGUCUAAGGAGGAAAAAAAUCCAGGGUUACAUCUGUAUUCUCAAACACUCGGGGAAGGUGUUAUUUCAUGUUUAAUUAAUUAAGCAGUCUCUUUAACUGUAUCUUGACAAAUGUGAUGCCAAUUAGAUAGUGAAGAGAAAUUGUUUAUUGCUAAUUAAUGGCUGAUUUCAGGGGAAAAGAAGUUUAAUCCUCUGAUACCUCACCUUUUUUAUUGCAGAGCAGGAAUAAGCCUCCACCUCUGACUCUGACUCUGCGGCUCCGCCCGUCCUUACAUGAACCGACAAGAUCAGCUGGAAGUUAGGAAAAAAUAAACUUUUAAAAACAACAACCAACAAAAUAAAAACAGAGUUUGAAGAGAGGUGAGAUAAUCUACUCCUUUAUUAGUCCCACAAGGGGAAAUUCCCAGAGGCCCAAGUUUUGGCACUUCGAGUUGAUCAACAUCAGAUCGGUAUCAGUAACAAGAACGAUCUGAAAGUGUGAACAUUCGGUUGGUUAGUCGAGAAACAGGUUUUAAUGUUGUUUUUGGAUUUACAAUAAAAGUCUGAGUCUUCUUUAGCUUUAAAAAUGAUGAGUCAUCCCUUACGGGGUGUUCACACCAAGUGCGAGUAAAAACACGUAUUCAUGCAAAUCUAGACGCAUGAAUGAAAAGUAUUUAUAACGUAACUAUUUUACUUUUUUAUAUUUAUUUAUCUUAUCUUAUUGCUAUAUUCUAGUUGUGUGCUUUAUAGAAAGUGUCUUUGAGUACCUUGAAAAGCGCUAUACACUUCAUUCACGUGUCAAAGCGGUUUAUGCUAAUUUCAACGGUAAUCCCUGCCAAUCCAAGUGAAAGACAAAGGUUAUUUACAAUUUAGCAGGUAAUCUGUCCUCCUCACUCACUCACCUCCAGGCAAGCUCCUUUUUAUUUCCAUUUCAAUAAUUGAAAGAGAAGGUAUCACAUAAUUCGGGGCACCAACACAUCGACACGAUCAGUUUGUCCUCCAUUUUAGGACGACAACCGUCUGUUGUUACAUCACCCGCCAACCUUCAUGCUGAUUGGUUUUUGCGACGUGAAUAUCCGCUCAAGUUGAGACAUUUUCAGCUCCUGCUCAAUUCGCGUCAUUCGCGUCUUUGUAUUGACUUAACAUGUAAUUCAUUCGCGUGAACGAUUCUACUCGCGCUCGGUGUGUGGAGACAGUUAGAGCUUCUACAGCUAGCUUGCUGGCAGUCUGCCUCUUCUUCUCCAACUCUCCCCUGUUAAAGUUCCUCCCGAUAACUCUUGGUACGACUUUGUGAUCACUCUGAGCUCAAUAUCACUUGGUUAGAAGACAGUUACCAUCAGUACCAAUUCACUGCUACAGCCCUGAAAUGGAAGAAUGCAGCUAAUUAAAACAUAUAUCAGACGUAUCUAAAGCCUGAACCGUGAAUUUGUCUGUUUUUGUUUCGUUUGUUUGUUUGUUUUCAUUUUAAUGACGAAGAAAACACGUUCGUCACUUUUUUAUCGAAGCCUCAGUGUGAUUUUCUUUUUGUUAUUUAGUUUGUUUUUACUAAUUAAAGAUGACUCCACAGAUCCCCAAAAGUCCUGAUGGUAUUUUACUAAGUCGAACUUUAGAAUGAAUGUUUCUGUCCACAUUAAUUCAAUAAAACGUCCCCUCAGGUUCAGCGAUAUUGUUCUUCAUUUGUUAGUAAAUAGUGAAUUUUAUCAAACGCAAACAACACCAAGGUGAUGUCAGCAAUAUGUUUUUCCAUUGGCUGUCCUGACCUCUGACCUUUGGGGUCAGUAUAUCAGCUGUUCAAACUAAAUAAACGAAGACGAGUUGAUGAAGUGAGUUAUCAGCACUAUGAAGUCAUCAUGUUUAUUAUUAUUUAUAAAUUUUCUCAAAAAUAAAUCUAAACUUUUUCCAAUAUUUUAACAAAUUCUUCCAAACUCCAUAUUUAUUUUUAAUAUUUCAACUUUUUUUCCCCUUUUUUACUGAAAAAGAAAAUUAAUAGGGACAAUUCAUGGAGAAAAAAACAGAAACUCCACCCAAUAAAAAAGCAAAAAUUAAGAUAAAACAUCUUUGAGGAUAAAAGCGUUGAGUUCAGUCAGAUUAAGUCCAGACAGAGAGAGGUCCUCACUCCUCACUCAGGUUGAUUCGGGCCACAGGUGUGUUUGCAGAAGCACCCCAAGUGGCCAAAGAGGGUACUGCAAGUCAUCAAAAGGAAAGGCAGGUCAGGCAGAUGAGCUGUGUCGCCAUGUGGGAAUUUCUCUGUUUUCAUCCAAAUAAACUAGAAAAAAUCGAUGAAGCUGAAACAAGCUCCUCAUGUCCAUGUUUGAAAUCUAAAAGUCAUAAAAUAAUGAGUCUAACUUCUUUUACAGAUGAGAAAAUAACCAGCAGGACUCGGUGCAGCUACGUCUCUGACUUUAUUGUUUUUAUUAAAUGCUGCAACAUGUGAGGCUUUAUUUGUGUGAAAUCUUGAACCAUGCUGAUCUAUUAUCUAAUAUCACUUCUUGUUUUGAUCUUUUAAGAGUUUUUUUAUUUUUUUAUCUGAGUCCAUGCUGUUAUAAAUGUGACA